GGGCUCGUGGUGUAGCGGCCUAACAUGCCACUCUGUCACAGUGGAGAUCGGGGGUUCGAAUCCCCUCGGGCCCG
rfam:Herpetosiphon aurantiacus DSM 785, complete genome.